GGCACGGAGGAUGACCUGGUGGUACAGCGCCGCGAUCGCCGCGCCGAUGAACGGCCCAACCCAGAAGAUCCACUGCGCCUUGUUGUUGUUGUAGACCACGGCGACGCCGAGGCUCCUGGCCGGGUUGAUGCCGGUGCCGGUGAUCGGGAUCGUCGCCAGGUGCACCAUGAACACCGCGAACCCGAUUGGCAGCGGAGCCAACACCGGAACAUGUGAGUCGCGGGCGUUGCGCUUGGGAUCGGUGGCGGAGAAGACGGUGUACACGAGCACGAAGGUGCCGAUGAUCUCGGCGGCGAGGCCGGUGCCGGUGGAGUAGCCGGCGGCGAGCUCGUUGGCGCCGCCGCCGUACCUGUCGUAGAGCGAGCUCUGGAACCCCUUGACGAGCGCGACGCCGCAGAUGGCGCCGAGGCACUGCGCCGCCAUGUACAGGAGGGCGCGCACCAGGGACACCUUCCGCGCCAGGAAGAGGCCGAGUGUCACCGCCGGGUUGAUGUGCCCGCCGGAGACGCCGGCGGUGCAGUAGACGAGGAUGAAGAUCAUGCCGCCGAACGCCCACGCGAUGCCGAGGACGCCCACACCGCCGCACGCCGCGUCGGCGCCGUUCACGGCGGCGUCCGUCUGGUGCUUGUACCCGAUCACCGUGGCCACCGUGACGUAGAGGAAGAGCAGCGUGGCGACGAACUCGGCGAUCAGCGCGCGGUACAGCGACCACUUGCCCAGCUCGUCGACGUCGACGAGCGGCGCCGGCGGCGGGUCGAUGUAGUCC
rnacentral:sRNA from 1 species